CCUACUCGGAGUUAUUCCGAGCAGUUCCGAAAGCCUACGAAAGUAAACGGAGCACAAGCACGUGACAGUUAUGAAUAAUCAAUGAGGUCAGCAAAUCAAAACAAAGAUGGACAGAUGAAAAUGAAAAGAGAAACAGAGGCAGACAGAGAUUGCCAAAAUCGAUCAGAAAGCGACGGUAAAUGGAAAAUGUAGGAAAUAUAUUGACGUCAAUGGUUUAUUUAGGCAUUCAUUGAAAGAAAAGGAUAGCAUUCAAAGCUUCAAAUGGAGUGGGAAAAUGGAGGGCGUGGAAACGAAACAUCACGAUAGUAUCUUUUGACAUCACGCUUCAAGACUCCGAUGUCAGGAGGCUGGUGAUGUCACAGAUUUUAACCUGGCUUGAACAUGCCAAGUGUACUGGCAUCUCAGCUGUUCUUCUCCAUCAUUUGACGGAUGAGCAUGAGUGGCCUCCCCCGAUUCAAUAUUAUGAGUAAAGUCAUGGG